GUACAGUGUUAAUAAAGUUGUGUCUGUACAGUGUUAAUAAAGUUGUGUGUUUGUACAGUGUUAAUAAAGUUGUGUGUUUGUACAGUGUUAAUAAAGUUGUGUGUUUGUACAGUGUUAAUAAAGUUGUGUUUGUACAGUGUUAAUAAAGUUGUGUGUUUGUACAGUGUUAAUAAAGUUGUGUUUGUACAGUGUUAAUAAAGUUGUGUUUGUACAGUGUUAAUAAAGUUGUGUUUGUACAGUGUUAAUAAAGUUUUGUGUUUGUACAGUGUUAAUAAAGUUGUGUUUGUACAGUGUUAAUAAAGUUGUGUGUUUGUACAGUGUUAAUAAAGUUGUGUUUGUACAGUGUUAAUAAAGUUGUGUGUUUGUACAGUGAUAAUAAAGUUGUGUUUGUACAGUGAUAAUAAAGUUGUGUGUUUGUACAGUGUUAAUAAAGUUGUGUCUGUACAGUGUUAAUAAAGUUGUUUGUUUGUACAGUGUUAAUAAAGUUGUGUGUUUGUACAGUGUUAAUAAAGUUGUGUGUUUGUACAGUGUUAAUAAAGUUGUGUUUGUACAGUGAUAAUAAAGUUGUGUGUUUGUACAGUGUUAAUAAAGUUGUUUGUUUGUACAGUGUUAAUAAAGUUGUGUGUUUGUACAGUGUUAAUAAAGUUGUGUGUUUGUACAGUGUUAAUAAAGUUGUGUUUGUACAGUGAUAAUAAAGUUGUGUGUUUGUACAGUGUUAAUAAAGUUGUGUUUGUACAGUGUUAAUAAAGUUGUGUGUUUGUACAGUGAUAAUAAAGUUGUGUGUUUGUACAGUGUUAAUAAAGUUGUGUGUUUGUACAGUGUUA